GCCAGGCAUGGUGGCAUGUGCCUGUUGUCCCAGCUACUUGGGAGGCUGAGAUAGGAGGAUUGCUUGAGCCCAGGAAGUCGAGGUUGCAGUGAGCCAUGAUUGCACCACUGCACUCCAGCCUGGGCAACAGAGCAAGACUCUGUCUCAA
ensembl:misc_RNA Metazoa_SRP Metazoan signal recognition particle RNA